rnacentral:rRNA from 1 species
AUUGAACGCUGGCGGCAGGCCUAACACAUGCAAGUCGAACGAGUGGCGGACGGGUGAGUAAUGUCUGGGAACCUGCCUGAUGGAGGGGGAUAACUACUGUAAACGGUAGCUAAUACCGCAUACCAUCAGCUGUGCCCAGAUGGGAUUAGCUUGUUGGUGGGGUAACGGCUCACCAAGGCGACGAUCCCUAGCUGGUCUGAGAGGAGGACUGGCCACGCUGGAACUGAGACACGGUCUAGGCUACUACGGGAGGCAGCAGUGGGGAAAAUUGCACAAAGUGCGCAAGCCUGAUGCAGACAUGCCGCGGGGGGGAUGAAGGCUGUCGGGUUGUAAUCCUCUUUAGCUAUCGAACGGGUAGGUGGAGAAGAAGCGCCGGCUAACUACGUGCCAGCAGCCGCGGUAAUAC